UAGGGAAUCUUCCGCAAUGGACGAAAGUCUGACGGAGCAACGCCGCGUGAGUGAAGAAUGAUUUCGGUUCGUAAAACUCUGUUGUUAGGGAAGAAAAAAUGUAUAGUAACUAUAUACAAAAGAGACGGUACCUAACCAGAAAGCCACGGCUAACUACGUGCCAGCAGCUGCGGUAAUACGUAGGUGGCAAGCGUUGUCCGGAAUUAUUGGGCGUAAAGCGCGCGCAGGUGGUUUAGAAAGUCUGAUGUGAAAGCCAACGGCUCAACCGUGGAGGGUCAUUGGGAACUAAUAAACUUGAGUGCAGGAGAGAGAAGUGGAAUUACUGGUGUAGCGGUGAGAUGCGUAGGGAUUGGGAGGAAGACCGGUGGCGAAAGCGGGUUGUUGGCCUGCAACUGACACUGAGGCGCGAAAGCGUGGGGGGCAAGCAGG
rnacentral:rRNA from 1 species